rnacentral:rRNA from 1 species
UACGGGGGGGGCAAGCGUUGUUCGGAAUUACUGGGCGUAAAGGGCUCGUAGGCGGCCAACUAAGUCAGACGUGAAAUCCCUCGGCUUAACCGGGGAACUGCGUCUGAUACUGGAUGGCUUGAGUUUGGGAGAGGGAUGCGGAAUUCCUGGUGUAGCGGUGAAAUGCGUAGAUAUCUGGAGGAACACCGGUGGCGAAGGCGGCAUCCUGGACCGGCAUUGACGCUGAGGAGCGAAAGCGUGGGGAGCAAACAGG